rnacentral:lncRNA from 1 species
AGAUUUCCCUGCUCCCUUAAAGUCAGUAGAAUUUUAUAGAAGAAGUGUCAAAGAAAUGCUCCAGUUGAGUAUAAUUUUUUUCAGUAUGAGUUAGUCCAUAAAGCAAACAAUUUAGUUUAGCAGUCAGGCAGACAAGUUUGUAUGGUUUCCCAUCAUUAUACCCAGUCGUCCUAUUCAAAGUCUUAUGUGUAUGACCGUUCCAUAAUGGAGCAUCCUGGUAGUUACAAGUUUAGCUCAUUUCAUGUAUCAUGC